UUUUUUAUAUUUUUGGUUGGUUUUCUAUAAAAAUCCUACAAAAUUUCUCAAGCUCAAGUGAAAUAUGAUUCGAGGAAGCUCUGAAUAAAAACAUAAAUAAAAUUAAAUAAAAACAAAUUAAAGUAAUUAAAAAUACUAAAAAUCCUAAUAAAACUAUAGUAGAAAUACUAUAAAAAUAACACAUAUCAUAUAUCUUUACUAAUUAUUUAUUUAUAAUUUAAAAAGUAC
rnacentral:lncRNA from 1 species